rnacentral:rRNA from 1 species
GUGAGGAAUAUUGGUCAAUGGGCGAGAGCCUGAACCAGCCAAGUCGCGUGAAGGAAGAAGGAUCUAUGGUUCGUAAACUUCUUUUGCAGGGGAAUAAAGUGCGGGACGUGUCCUGUUUUGUAUGUACCCUGAGCAUAAGGAUCGGCUAACUCCGUGCCAGCAGCCGCGGUAAUACGGAGGAUCCGAGCGUUAUCCGGAUUUAUUGGGUUUAAAGGGUGCGUAGGUGGUUUGAUAAGUCAGCGGUGAAAGUUUGCAGCUUAACUGUAAAAAUGCCGUUGAAACUGUCGGACUUGAGUGUGAGUGAGGUAGGCGGAAUGCGUGGUGUAGCGGUGAAAUGCAUAGAUAUCACGCAGAACUCCGAUUGCGAAGGCAGCUUACUAAGCUACAACUGACACUGAAGCACGAAAGCGUGGGGAUCAAACAGGAUUAGAAACCCCUGUAGUCC